AUUGAACGCUGGCGGCAGGCCUAACACAUGCAAGUCGAGCGAGCGGCGGACGGGUGAGUAAUGUAUGGGGACUGCCCGUUAGAGGGGGAUAACUACUGGAAACGGUAGCUAAUACCGCAUACUAUCGGAUAACCCAUAUGGGAUUAGCUAGUAGGUGAGGUAAUGGCUCACCUAGGCGACGAUCCCUAGCUGGGCUGAGAGGAUGAUCAGCCACACUGGGACUGAGACACGGCCCAGACUCCUACGGAGGCAGCAGUGGGGAAUAUUGCACAAUGGGCGAAAGCCUGAUGGAGCAAUGCCGCGUGAAUGAAGAAGGCCCUAGGGUUGUAAAGUACUGUCAGUCGGGAGGCGUUACCGACAGAGAAAGCAACGGCUAACUCCGUGCCAGCAGCCGCGGUAAUUC
rnacentral:rRNA from 1 species